UUCGGUAUCCUGUGUUGCUUACCUAUCGAAAGGAAUCCGAUGGUUUCGUUCGUCCCUUUCCGCCCCCAGCCCUCACGGGUUGUGGGGUGGACAUCAGGCAAGCCUCGUGUUCCCGGCACGCUUCGCCCAGCUGCGUCGCUGCCUCGGCCCAUGAGGUGCAUUGCCCGUGCUCUCGGAUGCGGAAUGUUAUGUGCGGGUGCGGGGUCUAUUUAUAGCUCCGUUUGCCCAAGCAACGCAUUUGUCCAUCGACACGAACGACUGCCGUGCCCGUCUUGAGCCCGCGGCCGUACGGCCUGCCGGGCUCAUGCGGGCGUCGG
rnacentral:misc_RNA from 1 species